rnacentral:rRNA from 1 species
UACAGAGGGUGCGAGCGUUGUCCGGAAUUACUGGGCGUAAAGAGCUCGUAGGUGGUUUGUCGCGUUGUUCGUGAAAACUCACAGCUUAACUGUGGGCGUGCGGGCGAUACGGGCAGACUGGAGUACUGCAGGGGAGACUGGAAUUCCUGGUGUAGCGGUGAAAUGCGCAGAUAUCAGGAGGAACACCGGUGGCGAAGGCGGGUCUCUGGGCAGUAACUGACGCUGAGGAGCGAAAGCGUGGGGAGCGAACAGG